UUAUGAACCUGCAGGCUCAAUUAUUGUUCGUAAUCAGUCCAUGCAGCGAUGGAACUGAACAAUUGUGGGACUGUAUUUGGGCCAAAAAUGGGUGUGGUACGGAAACCCAGAAAUGGCACGAGUUCAACCUAAAACAUGGAUUAGAAUUUUAGUGGGGGGAUCAAGUCAAGUCUGGAAGUGUUACAGGAUGGAAGAGUCAGCCUGUAGUUGAAAAAACACUGAGAGUGCAUUACCGUUAAGGUGUGAGGUAAAGUAAUAGAGUAAUGCAAAUUGUCUAAUGAGAAGUACCAUCUUGUGUUAAUGAAUCCGGUACAACAGCAAUCCUUUAUAGUUCUGUCACAGCUAGAAGCCUCAAAUAAUUCUGCUUCUCUUGCUAAAGAACAACUUGUCCUUUACGUUCAGAGUGUUGGUGAAGCUGGGUACUUAAAUGGCCCUAAAGAUGUUUCACUUUGCUGGCAUUGCAAGGAUGAACAUCAUACAUGGACUCUUUAGGAAAGGAUUUUCAGCAUACUGGGAACACAACUAUCAACAAUGCAACAUUCUAUGGGUGCUAUUUUAUCAUUCAAGAGCCUUAUACAAUGUUUUUCAUCUACAAUUUGUAUGGCCUUUUCCAAGCUUCUGUCAGAAGUUCAAUCUAUGAGUCAUGUAAGUCACAUGAGCAACAAUUGAGAUGCUUAAUGGUGUUGUUUUUCUUUUCUCAGUGUAGGUUAAUAGUAACAUUGGAUCUGAAAAGAUUCUUGGUUGGGGCAAGACACUGAAUAAAUUGUAAUGAUUGGAUGGA